UCUUAUAACCGGCCAAUUAAUCAUUAAAUAUAUUAUUUAAUAAAUCUCUGUUUUAUUUAUACAUAUUUAUCUUGUCUCAUGAUCACUAUAUAUAGUUAUCAAAUGUAUGUAUUCAUGUAUAUUUCACAACAAUGAUGAAAAUCAAGGCUUUUAUUUUGUACUUCUUCUGUACAAUAUUGCUUCUUAUUUCUGCUGUGAAAACCGAGACAACCGAAGAUGGUUAUCCAACUCCAACAGAAGAAUCAAAGAGAAACGUCAGGGGAGGUGGGUAUCUACACCGGCAAGUCGGAAGUCCAAUGUGGGAAACCCCCAGACCAUACUUUAAUUACAAAUAAUAAUUAUAAUAAAAUAAUAUAAAAUAAUAAUUAUAAUAAAAUAAUAUAAAAUUAUUAUUAUUAUUAUUAUUAUUAUUAUUACUAUUACUACUAUUAUUAUUAUUAUUAUUAUAAUAAUUAUUAUUAUUAUUAUUAUUAUUAUUAUUAUUAUUGUUGUUAUAUUUAUGAACGAACCAUACCAUGAACUAUAAUUAUAUUAAGUGAUCUUAUUUAGAUUUUUGACUGUUUAUUAAUUUAGUGAGCGCUUUAUAAUUCA